AUUGAACGCUGGCGGCAGGCCUAACACAUGCAAGUCGAACGAGUGGCGGACGGGUGAGUAAUGUAUGGGACACUGCCUGAUGGAGGGGGAUAACUACUGGAAACGGUAGCUAAUACCGCAUACCAUCAGAUGUGCCCAUAUGGGAUUAGCUUGUUGGUGGGGUACCGGCUCACCACGGCGACGAUCCCUAGCUGGUCUGAGAGGAUGACCAGCAACACUGGAACUGAGACACGGGCCAGACUCCUACGGGGGGCAGCAGUGGGGAAUAUUGCACAAUGGGCGAAAGCCUGAUGCAGCCAUGCCGCGUGUAGGAAGAAGGCCUUCGGGUUGUAAAGUACUUUCUGCGGGGAGGCGUUACCCGCAGAAGAAGCACCGGCUAACUCCGUGCCAGCAGCCGCGGUAAUUC
rnacentral:rRNA from 1 species